UGUCACGCGUCCAUCACCACCAAAUAUUCGGCAACAUGCAGUAUUUCGGAGUUUGCGCAAUAGCCGUUCUUCUCGCAUUGAUCACAAUGCCCAAACCUACCGUUGGAGCUGAUGCGCGCAAGUUACAGAAAGGCGAAAUAAAAGGUGAUCUGAACAAGGCAAAGUGCCUAUUUUAUGGAUCCCAGGCUACUAUGAAAUGCGGCAAGGCGCAAUCUUUAGUCUGCACGCCCCCUACCACCAAAACUGAAUUUGAAUUUGGCGAAGCAACCUGCAAACUACCGGACGUGCCCAGUGCAGACAUUUUUGAAGCAUGCUGCGCCAAGCAGAGACCGUGGUUCGGUGGAAGGAAAUAACAAAAGUUUGUAUACAGACUUACAUACAUCUCAGCCGUCAUUGUCUCUGGCGGGAGAUUCAAACUCUUCAAUAUAGAUCCUGCACACAAUUUUCCCAAAUUAUACGACAGAGACGCAGUUAUGUCCAAAAUCAUUUUAUAAUUAUGUAAUUAAUUUUACAAAGCUUGUCAAAUCUGAAAUUAUUAAUAAGUACAAUUCUCACUUCUGAGUA